UGGCGGGCUAGCCCGGGUAACUCGGCGUUAUCUGUAACCCGAAACCGUCGAUAGCGGGGGGCGAAGCCAGAGGAAGAAGUUUUGACUGUUGCACAACCCAUGGGUUCUACUGUGAAACCCCGUCCUGUGGGGCUGGCGUUGGUGCAGGGGCUUUCCUUAAGGAAGGUUUCUGUAUCUUAAUUGCGGAAAACGGUCAGGCCCGGAAGGGAGCAAACCAGCCGUGGACAACUAUCGCUCAUGGGAUCGCGGGGCGGAGGCGAGUUUGUGGACCACUGUGCAAUGGAAGGGACGGCGACCCGAGGCGUGCUCGCUG
rnacentral:SRP_RNA from 1 species